rnacentral:lncRNA from 1 species
AUUCACGUCAACCUCCAGGCAUCCUCCGCGGCGGGCCGGACCGGGCCGGCGGAGGGGAGCGGAAGCCCACCGGGGCUGGCCCGCCGCUGACCCGCCGCCUCCGUCUGCCUCCUCCCGGGCUCUGGGCCCAGCGCGCCCAGAUGCCGGGCAGGACCCCUCCGCCCGCUGCUGGAACACCAAUAGCAGCGUUGGAGCCUCUGGGCCGGAGGAACUGGGGCCUCCACCGACACCUGCUUCUUCCCUCACCUCGCAGCCUUCCACACCUGUUGAUCUGACCUCUGCCCCGCUGCCGCCCAGGAGUAACCUAAGGCUUUUGGCCUGAUUCGAGCUCACUCCGUCUAAACCUCUAAAUGCGGUGCGAAAAAAUCCUGGGGAAUGUGCCAUGCAAAGCCUGGGCAUUUCAAGUGCUUUUCUGGAUUCGCAUCAACUCCUCUUUACAGGCAUCUUUAUCCGGAAUUCAGCUCGUCCCAAACCCCACGUGGUGUAGCUCUGCUUGUGUUUUUGAAUCCCGGGGCCUCUUUGAAUCAGAAGCCCUUUGUAUAGAGAUAAGUAUCCUUUAGGCCAGAAUCAGCCUCCAUUUUUUUCGCAGUCCCAUUUCCUACCCGUAAUACUUUCUUCUGAUUUUAAAGCCAUUUGAUAGAGAAGGGACAGGGAACAGAACCUUCGCCCCCCGCCUGAGCAGCUGGUAGACUAGAUAUCUUCCAAACAUUAUCUCAUUUACUUCCCUGGAGUUACAAAUAGGUAGAUUUCAUGUCCGUUGAGGGGUGAGAAAGCUGAAACUUUGAGACUUAAGAAUCCUGGCCGAGGUCAGCCUCCUCCGAAGCUUCAUCUCUUGCCACCACUUUCUGGUGCACACCUAGGACAGAUUUCAAUCCCUGAGAUCCCAGGAUGAAACCUAUGUUUGCCAAAUACCAGCUACUGUGCCAGAAGAGAUCAUGGAACCAGGUGUGGAAAGCUGCUUGAGAAGAGGAGCCAAAACAUCAUAGUUGAACCGUCCUGGAAUAGAAUGCGUAUGAGAGUUCCAGUUCCUCUGCUUCCUCACCAACAGUUG